rnacentral:rRNA from 1 species
UGCUAUGGCCAUGCCACCCUGAAUGUGCCUGAUCUCAUCUGAUCUCAGAAGCUAAGCAGGGUCAGGCCUGGUUAGUACUUGGAUGGGAGACCAUCUAGGAAGACCAGGUGCUGUAGAUG